AGUGAACGCUGGCGGUAGGCCUAACACAUGCAAGUCGAACGGCAGCACAGUAAGAGCUUGCUCUUACGGGUGGCGAGUGGCGGACGGGUGAGGAAUACAUCGGAAUCUACUUUUUCGUGGGGGAUAACGUAGGGAAACUUACGCUAAUACCGCAUACGACCUACGGGUGAAAGCAGGGGAUCUUCUGACCUUGCGCGAUUGAAUGAGCCGAUGUCGGAUUAGCUAGUUGGCGGGGUAAAGGCGCAGCAAGGCGACGAUCCGUAGCUGGUCUGAGAGGAUGAUCAGCCACACUGGAACUGAGACACGGUACAGACUCCUACGGGAGGCAGCAGUGGGGAAUAUUGGACAAUGGGCGCAAGCCUGAUCCAGCCAUACCGCGUGAGUGAAGAAGGCGUUCGGGUUGUAAAGCCCUUUUGUUGGGAAAGAAAAGCAGCAGGUUAAUACCCCGCUGUUCUGACGGUACCCAAAGAAUAAGCACCGGCUAACUUCGUG
rnacentral:rRNA from 1 species